rnacentral:lncRNA from 1 species
ACAAAUCUAGAAAAUCUUAGGAACAAUUGUUAAGUGUUACAAUUGUCAAUUUUAGCUAUAAAAAAUGACGGGAAGUCCUGCCUCUCUUUUUCUACUUUGUCAUUUUUCAUGGCACAUUUCACCUCCCAAUGUACUGGAUAAUAUAGUUAUUUGCCAUGUCCAUUGUUUAUUGUCUAUCUCUCUCUUCGGAAUACUUGUUCUAUAAGUGCAAAGAGCUGUGUUUUGUUCACGAAUGUUUCUCAAGCACCUGCAAGAGCAUAU